ACAACUUUGCUGCUGCCUUUGCUGUUUUGUUUUUCAAUUUCGCCGGGCGAAACUUUGCCGAAUACAUCUCAAAAGCAGCAACAGCAGCAGCAGCAGAAGCAGCAGCAGAAGCAGCAGAAGCAGCGACAACAGCAACAACAACAAAGACGUGCAAAGUUUCUAUUAAAACGGAUUUAAUUAUGUAAUGGAAUCAUGAUAAAUUUCGCGCAACGUGAAAAGUGUUGGCCAAGGCUGCCAGCCAAGUACCUGGCACAAAGGCCGACGCAACCAGAACCAAAACAAGACCCAGAAACAGCAACAACACAAGAACACAGCAGCAGCUAAAACGGAAGCCCAACAACUUGGAACAAGAUGAAUAGAUAGAUGGAUAGGCAGACAGCAGCUAUAUGCUACAAAUCAUACGAUUUCGACAGAAUUUAAAAAUGGAUUAAUACAAAUUCUAUGUGACCCGUUAUAUUUCUUUCGCUGCGUUACAUAUUUCAUGAAAAAUUAAGAACACCUUCUGCAAUAGUAUUUAAAGUGAAAGUUGUUCUAAUAUAGCUUAUUUGCCUGCUGCUUAUAGAUGAGACUUAAAUAAUCAUUCUGUUGUAUAUCUUAUUGCGGUGAUGUGCGGUGUGUGAAGUCUGACAUCAAAUAAUCUUGCAUGGGCAUGUUAAGUUAAGGACACUGCCAGUCACAAUCGAUUGCUUCAAAAAACCAAAGAAAUCUAAUCUUAAAUAGUAUGGAAAAGGAUCAAAAUUAUAUUUUCGCAUAUCUUACAGCAUAUUCAACAAGUCCCUGGCUGAGAACCAACAUGACUUGGCCAGCCCAGCUGGUUAACUGGUUAUAAAAAACUAGACCAUGCAUAUAGAGCGAAAAACCUUUCAGAUUACAAAAUUCGGAGAACGCGUGUAUUCAUUAUGGCAUAAACUUCCAGGAGAGGAAAUCAUCUUCUACUCUGUAUAUUUUUAAGAAAUAUAAAACAAUAAAUAAUCUAAAACACAACGUUUUUGCUAAA